AACAAUAUUCAGAGGCGCAGUUUUGACAAUUAGCCUCCUCUGCUCACAAGAUAAAUCUGUCAAACUACAAGCCUCGAAGCAAAUGAAACCAACACUAUCCAAGAAAGCAACCGUGACCAGUCCAAAGAAAAGCAGGAAACAGGCCAGAUAGUGGUACUGCAAUGCAAAGAACGGAAAAGCAGGAAACACAUGCACGAUUCACGCCCAGUUCCUGCCGCAGGACCAUCUGCUACUGUGGACAACACAGGACCUGACCCCGCAUGGGGAGGAAAAGAUAAACUGUGGACAACACAGGACAGGACCAUAACUCCAUAAGCUUCAGAUUGUGGAAUCAGAUUGAGAUCCAAAAUAGAUGAAUGCACAAAAAAGAUUCCGAAAAGGAGAGGUACCUGAACAUGUUUCAUGCACCGAAAAAGUUCAUGUUGUCUUGGAACCAUGCAUGGACCAAUCACAGGGAAACAGAAAAUUACAAAAGAUCAACUGGUCCUUGCUCAGACCUUUUUGUCAGUGAUAAUCAACAAGUCACAUCAAAUAACAAGAAACUGACCAUUUUUUGGUUUGGACUGAAGCACAGGUAGCAAAAAAGUAGGUAGGUCAGUAAAUCACAGGUCAAUCUUACAUGAAAUUUUUGAAGCAAACUUACUGUUCUUGUACCGGGUAUGGAGUGAUCUGCAUGACAGAACCAGACAAUGCUAGACUUCUCUACAUUUUUUGAUAAAAGGCAUUUUCAACUGUUCAGUUUCACCGCCCCGGACAAUCCAAAUACACAAGUACAAUAGAAGAUGAGACUGGUAGUUGGAAAACUGAAUACUUGGUAUACUGUUGACUAGUUACAACGGACAGGAUUAGAACCUCAUAUUAGACUAAGGAAUGAGGCAUAUUGUCGAGAUUUGAACGGCAGUUCCUUCAAAAAAAAAAGAAAAAAAGAACGACAGAACAUAACGGCAACUGUAAGUCUGCAACCUUCUUUUUCAGAUGCUACUUGUAAGAAAUAGUCAAGCGAGCAUCAGGUCAGAUGCAAGGAAAAAUUUAUGCACUCAACUAUAAGAAAACUUCUCUGAUGAAUGAGUCAGCAAUGUGAAGAUAACCUCCAACUGAACACAAAACAUAAAGGAAAAGUGUGCAUAGUCAACAAGUGGGCAUAAAACAAAAUUAGCAAAUUUCUAAAUUCAAAUGACGCCUACAAGAAAGAGUCAAAGAAAACCAUGGGGUCAAGUGCACGAAAAUAAUAUUAUGGUCUUGGAUUUAAGAAUUUUUUUUUUCAGAUUGAUGAGUGAAAUGUAAUAUACACGAUACAUCAUUAGGCCAAAGAGAGUACAAGAUGCUAAUCUCCCAAAAACUAUACCACCAACAAGAGGAAUUGGAGUUCUGAACAUCCAAGCCUACAAACAAAACUUACUUCCCUGUAUCGAGAACCCAACCAGCGGUGUAACUUCAACAACGUUUGCCAUGCCUGGAAUCAAAAGGGUUUAGCCAGAGUAUAGAGAGAAGCCGUUGGAUGUAUAUACAGUACUUGGCCAAUUCAAAGAAGAACGCCUUAAAAUUCCUCUUUCAUGCCUUUCCACAGCAGCUAAU
rnacentral:lncRNA from 1 species